AUAAGAAAAAAUAACUCGAUAAAAGCUUUAAAAACAAAAAUUUUUUAAUAAAAAUAAAAAAUUAAUUUUAAUAAGUAUAAUUAUUAGAAACUCUUUUUAGAAGUUAAUUAAGUACUGAAAAGGAAAUUUGAAAAUUUUAAAUAAAAAUUAAAAUAAAAGAAGAAAUAAAACCUCCUACCUUUUGUAUUAUGGUUUAACAACAAAAAUAGAAAAAUUUUUCAAAACCCGAAACCAAGAGAUCUAAUGAAACCCCAACAAAAUUGGUUGUAUCUGUAUUACUGUUACAAAAGUAAACAAAGAGGAAUCAUUAGCCAUGAAAAGUGAAACGAGCUUGGUGAUAGCUGGUUUCUCAUAAAAUGAAUUUUAGUUCAAGCUUUUAAUUAUGAUAUUUUGUAUAAAUAUAAUCAUAAUAUAAAAAGCUAAACCAAAAGGGACAAACUUUUUGGUUACAGGAAAAAGCCUAAAAUAAUAGUUAAAAUCAAAAAUAAUAAUAAGAAAAAAAAUAUAGUAGGCCUAGAAGCAGCCACCAAAAAGAAAGCGUUAAAGCAAAAUAUAUAAAAAAACAAUAAUUUAUGAAAAAAAAAUUUUAACUUUUUUUCUAAUGAGAUAAUUAUUAUUUAAUUAUAAAAGAAUGUUAAAAUUAGUAUUUAAAAUUUAAGGCUAAAAAAAUUUAAACUACUCUAACAACCCUUAGUGGAAGAAAGAAAAUAUUUUCUCCAAGAAAAAAAUUUUUUUAAUAGUUAAACCCAACACCGGAAGCCUAAUACUUUAAAAAGUAAGAAGAAGGAACUCAGCAAAUAAAAGUUUCGCCUGUUUACCAAAAACAUCGCUCUUUGAAAAAUAUUAAUAAAGAGUACUGCCUGCCCAGUGACAAAAGUUAAACGGCCGCGGUAUUUUGACCGUGCAAAGGUAGCAUAAUCAUUUGUUCUUUAAUUGAGGACUAGAAUGAAAGGCAACACGAAAACUUAACUGUCUCCUUCUUAAAAAAAGAAAUUAAUAUUUUUGUGAAGAAGCAAAAAUAAAAAUGUAAGACGAGAAGACCCUGUCGAGCUUAAGAAAAUUUUUAUAAGAAAAUAAAUAAGUUAAGCUAAGUUAUAUUACUAAAAACUAAAAAUAAAAAUAUCUUUGGUUGGGGCAACCACGAAGAAAAAGAAACCUUCGUUCUAAAAAAGAAAUUAACAAAUUAAAAACUUUAAUAAAGAAAAAGAUCCAGAAUAUACUGAUCAAAGAAAAAAGUUACCGCAGGGAUAACAGCGUUAUUCUCUUUAAGAGCUCGUAUUGACAAGAGAGUUUGCGACCUCGAUGUUGGACCGGGGCAUCCAAGAGGUGUAGCAGCCUCUAAAGGUAGGUCUGUUCGACCUUUAAAGCCCUACGCGAUCUGAGUUCAGACCGACGCAAGUCAGGUCAGUUUCUAUCUACAAAAAAAGAAGUUUUACUAGUACGAAAGGAAUUUAAAACUAAAGUCAACUUUUCAAAAAGAACUUUUUAACAAAUACUGAAAAAAAAUAAAGAGAAACUU
rnacentral:rRNA from 1 species